UGCAAGGCCAUACAGAAUAAAAUUGUCUUGUUUCCAAGGCUUUGUCUCAGGCUGAAUUUGUGAGCAGGGACUGUUUCUCACAAUUUGGGGGCUCGUCCAGAAUCCGACACUCCAACCGCUCGACAUUCUUGGGACGACGGGGAAGGCGCGCCUCGCCGAUUUCGGCGAUCUCCAACUCCCUUGUUUGUCGUUUGCAGUUUGGGUGGUGCGAUCCGGACUGGGAGACCCUGGAAACAAGACGGGUAGACGCGGCGGGUCCGGUCGGGUAACUCUUGUGCACAGGACCCGGGUCAGGAAAGGUCUUAAAGAUCUGACCGGGUGACCGGGGGAACACUGCAGGUAUUGCCGGGGGGACGUACAGGAAGUACGGGGACUGGGCAACCGGGGGAGCAGCUGUAUUCGCUGCGGUGUCGCUGCGGGGGCGUACGGAAAGUACGGGGAAGAGUUAUAAUGACCAGGUAACUCCGUGCACGGACCAAGAUAUAUCCAAGAGCACUGCAAGAAGCUAGAGAAGAAAUUGCAGGGGCCAGGCUGAUAAAUAUGCCAAAGUGAAAAUAACAUCAAGGAACAGAGCAACCUGACAACCUGGCUUAUCAACAAUCAAGAAACUCUACAACUAAAUCGAGUACUUUGAAUGAAGUUUGGUGAUUGUAAGGUUUGUUCUGUAUCAUUUGUUCCAAGACUCCAAGCAAAACUCUGUUGCAAGCGCAAAGCCACUAAGUAGCAUUAACACCAUGAUGUGUGGAGCUGAAACUACUUCGCUGUCAUGCAAACAAACCGUUCCAUUUUAAUCUCCUUAUUAGAUGAGUCGAGGAUUACUGGAGAACGGGUUGCAAAUCCACAGCAGACAAACUGGCAGGCAGAGUUUCAACAUUGUGUAGACACAGCACAUGGAGGAGUCCUUAAAAAUGAACUCUUUUAAAGGCAAGUUAUACAUACGGGGAUCUCCGAUUUACGAACAGCUAACUUACCUACAAGUGAAAUCUUUUGCAACUUACACAAAAUAUGUAUAAUUUUAAAA